AUGGAUAUAUACAUAUGUAUAUAUACCAAGGGAACAUUUCAUGCAAAGGUGGGCUCGAUAAAGGACAGAAAUGGUAUGGACCUAACAGAAGCAGAAGAUAUUAAGAAGAGGUGGAAAGAAUACACAGAACUGUACAAAAGAGAUCUUCAUGACCAAGAUAUUCACGAUGGUGUGAUCACUCACCCUGAGCCAGACAUCCUGGAAUGUGAAGUCAAGUGGGCCUUAGAAAGCAUCACUACGAACAAAGCUAGUGGAGGUGAUGGAAUUUCAGUAGAGCUAUUUCAAAUCCUGAAAGAUGAUGCUAUGAAACUGCUGCACUCAAUAUGCCAGCAAAUUUGGAAAACUCAGCAGUGGCCACAGGACUGGAAAAGGUCAGUUUUCAUUCCAAUCCCAAAGAAAUGCAAUGCCAUAGAAUGCUCAAACUACCGCACAGUUGCACUCAUCUCACACGCUAGUAAAGUCAUGCUCAAAAUUCUCCAAGCCAGGCUUCAGCAGUAUGUGAACCGUGAACUUGCAGAUGUUCAACCUGGUUUUAGAAAAGGCAGAGGAACCAGAGAUCAAAUUGCCAACAUCUACUGGAUCAUGGAAAAAGCAAGAGAGUUCCAGAAAAACAUCUCUUUCUGCUUUAUUGACUAUGGCAAAGCCUUUGACUGUGUGGAUCACAAUAAACUGUGGAAAAUUCUGAAAGAGAUCAGCAUACUAGACAACCUGACCUGCCUCUUGAGAAACCUAUAUGCAGGUGAGGAAGCAACAGUUAGAACUGGACAUGGAACAACAGACUGGUUCCAAAUAGGAAAAGGAGUACGUCACGGCUGUAUAUUGUCACCCUACUUAUUUAACUUAUAUGCAGAGUACAUCAUGAGAAACACUGGGCUGGAAGAAGCACAGGCUGGAAUCAAGAUUGUCGGGAGAAAUAUCAAUAACCUCAGAUAUGCAGAUGACACCACCCUUAUGGCAGAAAGUGACGAGGAACUAAAAAGCCUCUUGAUGAAAGUGAAAGAGGAGAGUGAAAAUGUUGGCUUAAAGCUCAACAUUCAGAAAAUGAAGAUCACGGCAUCUGGUCCCACCACUUCAUGGGAAAUAGAUGGGGAAACAGUAGAAACAGUGUCAGACUUUUUUUUGGGGGGCUCCAAAAUCACUGCAGAUGGUGACCACAGCCAUGAAAUUCAAAGACCCUUACUCCUUGGAAGGAAAGUUAUGACCAACCUAGAGAGCAUAUUGAAAAGCAGAGACAUUCCUUUGCCAGCAAAGGUCUAUCUAGUCAAGGCUAUGGUUUUUCCUGUGGUCAUGUAUGGAUGUGAGAGUUGGACUGUGAAGAAAGCUGAGCACCAAAGAAUUGAUGCUUUUGAACUGUGGUGUUGGAGAAGACUCUUGAGAGUUCCUUGGACUGCAAGGAGAUCCAACCAGUCCAUUCUGAAGGAGAUCAGCCCUGGGAUUUCUUUUGAAGGAAUGAUGCUAAAGCUGAAACUCCAGUACUUUGACCACCUCAUGCAGAGAGAUGACUCAUUGGAAAAGACUCUGAUGCUGGGAGGGAUUCAGGGGAGGAGGAGAAGGGGACAACAGAGGAUGAGAUGGCUGAUGGCAUCACUGACUCGAUGGGCGUGA
rnacentral:lncRNA from 1 species